rnacentral:rRNA from 1 species
CAGUCGAACGAAGCACUCUAUUUGAUUUUCUUCGGAAAUGAAGAUUUUGUGACUGAGUGGCGGACGGGUGAGUAACGCGUGGGUAACCUGCCUCAUACAGGGGGAUAACAGUUGGAAACGACUGCUAAUACCGCAUAAGCGCACAGGGUCGCAUGACCUGGUGUGAAAAACUCCGGUGGUAUGAGAUGGGCCCGCGUCUGAUUAGCCAGUUGGUGGGGUAACGGCCUACCAAAGCAACGAUCAGUAGCCGACCUGAGAGGGUGACCGGCCACAUUGGGACUGAGACACGGCCCAAACUCCUACGGGAGGCAGCAGUGGGGAAUAUUGCACAAUGGGGGAAACCCUGAUGCAGCGACGCCGCGUGAACGAAGAAGUAUUUCGGUAUGUAAAGCUCUAUCAGCAGGGAAGAAGAAAUGACGGUACCUGACUAAGAAGCACCGGCUAAAUACGUGCCAGCAGCCGCGGUAAUACGUAUGGUGCAAGCGUUAUCCGGAUUUACUGGGUGUAAAGGGAGCGCAGGCGGUACGGCAAGUCUGAUGUGAAAGCCCGGGGCUCAACCCCGGUACUGCAUUGGAAACUGUCGGACUAGAGUGUCGGAGGGGUAAGUGGAAUUCCUAGUGUAGCGGUGAAAUGCGUAGAUAUUAGGAGGAACACCAGUGGCGAAGGCGGCUUACUGGACGGUAACUGACGUUGAGG